GAAAUUAAAAUAUAAAUGUGUAUCUUUUGCACAAUUGUGACACCUAAAGUUUAAAAAUUAAUAAAUUUCAGCCCUGGGAUUUGCAAAGAUAACUGCCACAUAGAGCCAUCUUGUACCUUCCUAACACGCCCUUCCCACCCCUUACCACGUGUUGGGAGAUGUGGACCUGGUCUGAGGGUGGGGUGUUCCCCAGGGUCUUGCCUCAACUUCUCCUACAUCCUCUGUGUUGUGUCUGUCCCCUGCCCUGCAGGUUGCUGGCAGACUGAUCAUCCACGCAGAUGAGCUGGCCCAGAUGUGGAAGGCGCUGAAUCUUCCAACAGAUCUGUUUAAUAGUGUGAUGAGCGUGGGUCACUUCACGGAGGAGAUUGAGUGGCUGAAGUUUUUAGCCCUCGCUUCUAGCGCUCUGGGAGUUACUAUCACCAAAACUCUCAAGAUAGUGUGUGAGGUCUUAUGUGACCAUGAUGGUGGGCCACCCCGGAUACCUUUCAGCAUGUUCCAAUUUCUCUACACGUAUAUUGCCAAAGUGGAUAGGGAGAGCUCUGCAUCACAUGUCAGCCGGAUGCUAAGCUACAUUCAGCAGGAAGUGUAAGUUAACUUUUACAAAGGAGAGGUGAAAGAAUACCAGGAUAACAAAUCUAGUGGCCCAAGAUAGAGCGAGAUUAUUAUAUUAUACUGCUCUGAGAACAGAAAAGUAUUGUGAGGAACAUGAAACAUGGAUCUGAAAGAAAAGGGGAAAGGGAAGGAGAAGAGGGAGGAAAAG
rnacentral:lncRNA from 1 species